rnacentral:miRNA from 1 species
CAUCAAAAGGUUAUUCUCUCUCUCUCUCUCUCUCUCUCUCUCUCUCUCUCUCACACACACACACACACAGAGAGAGAGAGAGAGAGAGAGAGAGAGAGAGAGAGAGAGACCCUGAAGAG